GGAUUACAAGAGGGUAGGGUCAUGGGCCCGAAAUUCCUUCUCUGUUGGUGGGGUGGUAAUGGUGGAAGGUUUGUGUGUGUUGAGAAGAUACAGUGCGCAAGUGUAUGUGAGGGGAAAGGGAGGCUUGUCUCCUUUUUUAAUUUUUACUUUUUAAAGAUUUUACAGUUUCUUACUAUGUUAUAUUUUUGUACCAAUGCUAAGCAAUACACCUGACUUCAAUUUCCUCAUCAUGGCCUUUCCUCAUCUGAACUUACACAAUAUUUUCAGCUUUCCCUCCCUCCCUCCUUUCUUACUUUCUUCUCUCCCUUCUUUUCUUCCUUCCUUCAAUUAUUUAUUUCAAACAGACCUUUUAUUUUGGGAUAAUUUUAGAUUUAUAGGAAAGUUGCAAAGAUAGUACAGAGAAUCCCCAUGUACCUCUUACCCAGUUUCAAUUUCCCCUAAUGUUGUCAUCUUACAAUUCUGUGGUACUUCUUUAGGUUUUAGGUUUUAAACCCACCAAGGACUAUAUCUUGCAAGAUCUAUUAUUUCCCUGUGUCUCUCAGAAAACUGUGGCUGUUGGUGGUCCUAACUUGAAGGUUAAGCAUGUCUUCUGUUGACUGCAGACAUGUCUAGGCUUGUCCGGAGGCCAGUAAGGCCCAUCUUCCAUGGGUCGGUGAAUAGGAGGGAUUGAGGGGCCCUUUGGGAAUGAGAGAGAGGGAGGUGGAGGUGGCCAAACAGUUGACUCAAAGGCCACGGGUUGGUGUUGGAAGGAAGGAGGCUUCUGAGCUCAGCAGGAAGUAUGUGGUUCAAGAGCUUUCUCUCUCUCCUGGCUCUUUGAUCAGGGGGAGGGAGAUUGUUAUAUGACAGAGUCAUAAUCUGACCCCGUGAAAAGCAGUGAGCACAAAGACUGUGAAGCAGAACUCAGUGGGGCACGGAAGUGAUGUGGGUGAGAGGACGCUAUGCAUCUGAGAAUCAACAGGAGGAGAGUGGCCUGAACAGAGGGCCAGACCAGCCUGCAUCUGGAUGGAGAAGGAGUUUCAGGGCCAUUACUUUGUUAGGAGACAGACCCCAUAGGAGAGCCCAGAAGACAAUGUUCUCUAGCUCACAUGAGCACUUUCUUGAGGGCAGUCUGGGAAAGAGCUGGGUGGAGGUGGCAGUUUCAAGGAGUCACAAAUUUCCCCCCAAAUUUUGUGUUACUGUUGUUGUCAUUGGAACCCUGUUGCACUCUCAAGGCAGAUUGGCUGGGCAAAUAUGAGUGACAUGCAUGUUGGAGUCUGGAUGUUUGGUAAUAUUGUUGACUCACUGCCCAUUACCCUUUCACGUAAGGGAAAGUCCCCAGAGGCCAGGGCCCAAAGAGGUGAGUGUUUCCUUAGCCGGUGCUCCUCAAAGAUAUAAGUCACUCACUUGAGACAGUUGGGCACCAACUGGAGGCCAGUAAUAGACACCAAUGGUCUGACCCCAAUGCUCUCUGACUGAGAAGAGGGGCUUUCAUGUGGGAAGGGAACACCAGGCCCACCCAAAGGAGGAGCUCAGGAGAUGGGGAGGUUUGGUGAACACCACCCUCAGGAAUGAAAACAGAGAUCCAGAGUUUCCAGGGACUUUCAGGGACUAUCCCAGGGAGGAGUCAAAAUUGGGUGAAAUUUUGUAUAUUUUAGAAGAUUAUCUGUAUUGUUGUCUGUUGCUUAGUGAAGCUGUGGGUUUGUCUUUGGGAGCAGCAAGGGGUUGGGACACAAACCCAUUCUCAGGAGAAGGUAAAUGUGUAGGGUUAGCUGGGGCACAGCAGUGUGAAAGAAAGAAGUUACUAUCUGAAUAAAAAAAAAGUCUGUGCCUAUUACAUAUAUGGUUAUAAAAAACUAUAAUAGAUAAACACCAGGUGGUAUGGAGCCCAGAAGAAUGUGGCUAUUGAAAUUAGCUAUGACCAUUUAUUGUUUACUGUCUGUCGGCCACUAUGCAGUUGGAAAGUGCUUCACAUGUGUUACCUAACAAUGCUAGGAGCUGGAUAUUGAUAUUUUCUCAUUUGGUUGAUAUAGGAACUGAGGUUUGGAGAAAACAUUGAGUCACUUGUUUAAGGUCACACAGCUCAUAGAUAUUGGAGUGAGAAUUUAAAUCCAGCCAAUGGUACAUAAUGUUUAGUAGCUGUUUGACUCUCCUGCAGGAUACCAAGUCUUGGGCUCAGCGAGGUCAACUCCCUCCUGAUAGUUCUGGCUGAAUGGAUCAACUGAACUUUCAGCCAUUUGACACUUACAUUUAAUUGAUCCUGAGGCUCUGCUACGUGCUGUGGGGCCCCCACAGGGUACGAAGAAUUACUUUCUCUCAGAUACAGGGUAAUUAAGGAAAUAACUCAUUUGCAAGAAACUGUAAUAACUCACAUGGGAUUGCUGGGAGUUUUGUUCUGUGGGCCCAUGUGUGUGAGGCUAUGUGUGAGUGUGUACAUGUGUGUGUAAUGGGAGAAAGGGUGCGGGAAGAGAAGGCAACACUAUGGGGGAGGGGAAGUGAUGUGGCUCUAGCACCUGGUUCAGAGGGCACAGGGAACUCAGUGUCCUGCCUGGAUGGUGAGAUAAGAGGACUCUAUGAGCGAUGGUGAUGUUCAAAGUCAAGUGGCAGCACACUAGAAUAUCUUGGGAACUUUUAAACAUACCAAUGCCUGGGCCCUGACUGAAGAGACUGAUUUAAUUGGGCCAAGUGGGGGAUUGGAGAUAGACAAGUAGUUUCUAGACGUCUCCUUUGAGAUUCUAAUGAAUAUCUGGACUGAGAAGUGGGCAAAUGCAUGCUUCCUAGCAUCUCCUGGGCUCUCCCUGCUUUGAAUCCAAGCCACAGAUCUUUCAACAGACUUCUUGGUGCUGGGCCUCCUUGUUCUCCCUUUCGUGUGACUGCGAGGUCAGAUGACCACGUGUGUGCCUGCAAGGAGAGGCCACCACCUGUUGCUGUAAAUCUGGUGCAAUUUCAUCAUCUCUUUGCCCCAUGUAUUUUCAGUAUCUCAUAACUACAUCUGGAUGGAUAAUCUGUUGUUUUCUGCCUUGUAGCAGCUUGUGCAGUCACAAGGGGAUGUGUGCUGGGGCUUUUGCCCUGUAAAUAUAGACUGGGUGAGUUUAUUUAUAGGAAAUUACGAAGAUUACCUUUGAUUGUUAUUGGCCAGAGAAGGUUUUCAUGUAUCUCAUCUGUCCUUAAUUUGUUGUUGGGACAAGACUUUCAAAUAAAUCACUUUUGCAAAGGCCAAGUAAAUUCUAACUACUUUAGAGAAAAUUCCCUAUGUGGCAGCUUCGGUGAGGUCUGAGGGAAUGGUCAGAAAUCCUCCCAGAGCAAUGAGAAAGAUGGAAGAUCUGGGAGAGAAGAGCUUUGUCAAUGUCUUUGACAAUGCAUGAAGGCAGUUGUCCUCAAUCUUGGCCGUAUGUCAGAAUCUUCCAGGGGGUUUAAAAGCAAAAACAAAGACAACAAAAAGCCCAAACCCCAGGCUGUACCCUGGAAUAAUUGAAUAAGGGUUUCUGGGACAUAGGAGCUGACAUCAAUAUUUUUUAAAGCCUCAGAUGAUUUGAAUGUACAGCCAGGGUUAAGAAGCACUGUGUGAAGGGAUAAGAGAGGUUUAACGAAUAAGAGGGUGCCCCUGUGAGUUGCAAGGAAGAAAGAAGAGUAAGAAGUCAAGGUUAGAGAACAGUCACAUACUGCAGCUUUGGAAUGUAAUAGUUAAGUCCAGCCAGCUCCAAGAACUCAGCUUAGUCUUAAGAAACUGAUGGCCCAUCUCCAACCAUCCUUGCAACCCCCAGGUCACGAGUCAUUUGCAUCACGAGGCCUGGGGUACAUGUGACGGCUGAUGAUGAGAGCAACACCUCACUUCUUCUGUGCCCCUUGGCCCCGGGGAGAGGGGCGAGGGGACUUCAAGAUCAUUCUGAUUCUUUAUGCAGCCAGUCACCCAAAUGGAUAACUGUCAGAGGGUUGGGAAAGUGCUGUGGGGUGGGGAGGGUAUGGCUGAGAGAGCACUGGCAGACGGAUCAAGGGACACAGACAAGGCACAAGUCCAUCAUCCAAGGCCCUAGUGAACAGGUAUAGUCCGUUUGGUCAGGAUGUAAGCAAUCACCCAGGGACACUUUUAAAAGAUGUUUUAUUUUGACAUAAUUUCAAAGGUACAAAAGACUUGCAAGAUUCUCCUCUAAAGAACCACCCCCCACCCCCGACCUUCAGCUCAGAUUCACUGCUUGUUAACUUAUAACCACAUUUACUUUAUCACUCCCCCUCUCUGUCUAGAUGCACACAUAUUUUUCUGAACCUUUGCCCCUAAACACUUCAGCACAUGUUUCCUACGAACAAGGACAUUUUCUCAUUAUAACCACAGAACUGUGGAAAUAAAGGAAGACCCACCAAAUGAGAAAAGCAAAGGCUCUUUAUUCUGGCUAUAGCAAGGGAGUUGGCCACCAUCACUUGAAUUCUGGCAGAGACUCAAAGGCAGGCAGAGGAAUGGGAAAGCUUUAUCGGAGACACAGCAGAAGGCUUCAGGUGUGCCCCGACUGGAGGCUGUGGGCACGAGGAAGGUGGAGAUGGGCUAACGAGACGUGGAGGAUCCGUGUGGUUGGUCAGCGGAGCAUGUUUGACUUUCCCUGCUUGGUCCUACGUUGGAAGCAGGGACAAAAAUCAGGGAAGCUGUCAGACCCCUCUACGUCUAGUAACUCAUGGCUGUGAGACAAACAUCUUGAACAGAGAUUCUAUUGGUGUGGAACCAAUCCAUUUGAGAGUCAGACCAUUGACCUUGAUCCUGUUGGCACCAUGCCCAGCCUAAUUGUAUUUGAAGAUCAGAGGUCAGAUGGGCAUUGCGUAGAACUUCGGAGAAGAGAAACCCCAGCUGCCUACUCUUACAAGCCACAAGCAUGAAAACAGAUCCUUGUGUGUUUACAUUCUGUUUGGACACAGAAGCCGGCUCAGGAUAUCUCAGCUCUAAUCCCGGUUUUCCGGCUCACUAGCGGUGUCACCUUGGGAUGAGAGUUCUCUUUGGAGCUCGGUUGCCAUGGGGACUUUGAUUUGUCUGUUUCUAACAUCUUUGAGCUUCAGAUGUGAUUCUAGACCACCUCCUUGGCAGUCUCAACUGUCUGAAACAGCCACGAACUGGAAAGUAAGCAAAGAUUGGCACGUGUUGGUAUUGCAAAGUUUGGUGCUAGAGCAUGCCUACUUUAUCUUUAGCAGAGCGCCUAAGUCCUCACCUCGAACUCAUUUACUCUGCUUUACACUCAAGUUUAAGAAGGCUGUAUCUGACUUUCCAUGUCAGUAGGGUGGGGGUACACAUAGCACUUGAGAGGCUGCUACAGUUAGGCGUGCCGACAAGCAUAAAAGUUCAACGUCAUUCAAUUCAAUUCCAUGCAGCUGAGCUAAAGAUUCAGCCUUUCAUCAAUGUCAUCAAGGAAUGACACUGACAAGCCUGAUUCUGAAGAGAGAAGCAGAAAAACUAUAAAAGUGCAGCCAUGUGGGCCAUUUAGUGUAGAAAUAAAUAGCUCCUCUCGUGGCAAUGAGUUCUUCAGGAGUGGACAUUGGCCCUGGAGUCAGAAGACUGGGAUGGGAGUGUCGGUUCUUUUUCUUACUAAGUGUGUGAUUUUGCUUGAGUCAUGGAAACAGAGGAGCUCCAGGUUUCUUCUCUAUAAAAUGGAAACAAUCGUACCUAGGAUAGCUUCCCUUUACUGAUACAUUCUGCCGUUAGCCUGUUCGAUUCUCUCAGCAACCUGAGAAUUACAUUUCAUUCUGUAUGUGAGGACACCAAGCCUAAAGAGAUUAUUGUCUGCCCAACGUCAAAUAAGUAAGAAAACCCAUCUCUAUAUCUAUUUAUACAUGGAGGGAUUGAAACUGUAAAGGUUUUAUAAACAUGUAUUAAAAUACAGCAUGAUAAUUAAUAUUCA